AGUGAACGCUGGCGGUAGGCCUAACACAUGCAAGUCGAACGGCAGCACAGUAAGAGCUUGCUCUUACGGGUGGCGAGUGGCGGACGGGUGAGGAAUACAUCGGAAUCUACUUUUUCGUGGGGGAUAACGUAGGGAAACUUACGCCAAUACCGCAUACGACCUACGGGUGAAAGCAGGGGAUCUUCGGACCUUGCGCGAUUGAAUGAGCCGAUGUCGGAUUAGCUAGUUGGCGGGGUAAAGGCCCACCAAGGCGACGAUCCGUAGCUGGUCUGAGAGGAUGAUCAGCCACACUGGAACUGAGACACGGUCCAGACUCCUACGGGAGGCAGCAGUGGGGAAUAUUGGACAAUGGGCGCAAGCCUGAUCCAGCCAUACCGCGUGGGUGAAGAAGGCCUUCGGGUUGUAAAGCCCUUUUGUUGGGGAAGAAAAGCAGCAGGUUAAUACCCCGCUGUUCUGACGGUACCCAAAGAAUAAGCACCGGCUAACUUCGUG
rnacentral:rRNA from 1 species